GACGAACGCUGGCGGCGUGCUAAACACAUGCAAGUCGAACGGAAAUUCCCUGUUUUUGUGGGGUUCCCGAGUGGCGAACGGGUGUGUAACACGUGCGUAACCUUCCCUUGACUUUGGCAUAACUUCAGGAAACUGGGGCUAAUACCGGAUAGGUGCUCCUGCUGCAUGGUGGGGGUUGGAAAGUUUCGGCGGUUUGGGAUGGACCUGUGGCUUAUCAGUUUGUUGGUGGGGCAGUGGCUUACCAAGGCUUUGACGGGUAGCCUGCCUGAGAGGGUGACCGGCGACAUAGGGACUGAGAUACGGACCAGAAUCCUACGGGAGGCAGCAGUGGGGAAUAUGGCAGAAUGGGCGGAAGCGUGAUGAAGAAACGCCGCGUGCGGGAUGACGGCCUUCGGGUUGUAAACCGCUUUCGCCUGUGACGAAGAGUGAGUGACGGUAAUGGGUAAAGAAGCACCGGCUAACUACGUG
rnacentral:rRNA from 1 species